GACGAACGCUGGCGGCGUGCUUAACACAUGCAAGUCGAACGGAGUGGCGAACGGGUGAGUAACACGUGGGUGACCUGCCCUGCACUUCGGGAUAAGCCUGGGAAACUGGGUCUAAUACCGGAUAGGUUGGGAGGGGCCCGGGGCCUAUCAGCUUGUGGGUGGGGGAAUGGCCUACCAAGGAGGCGACGGGUCGCCGGCCUGAGAGGGUGGACGGCCACAUUGGGACUGAGGCACGGCCCAGACGCCUACGGGAGGCAGCAGGGGGGAAUAUUGCACGAUGGGAGGAAGCGUGAUGCAGCGACGCCGCGUGGGGGAUGACGGCCUUCGGGUUGUAAACUCCUUUCACCAUCGACGCGGUAGAUGGAGAAGAAGCACCGGCUAACUACGUGCCAGCAGCCGCGGUAAUAC
rnacentral:rRNA from 1 species